UAUUGGUUGAUAUCAUAGACUGUACGGGAGAUAUCUACAAUCCAUUGUUUCGGUAGCUGGAAAGAUGUGAUUUGAUUGCUUUGGCCUUGCGAGGUGUAGGGAGAGACGUUUGCUCGCUGCUCGUUCAUUCGGCUUGGUACUGGAAGGCGUGCAUGUCACGUCCGCUUCAUUUAGUGCCCUAAAUCAGUGACAUGCCAAGGAUGCUGAUGGUGUCGAUGGCAGCGAUGGCCUUCUGGUGAACCUCCUGCAAGUUACUGGAGAAGGAGCCAGGUUUGCCCUGUUUGCCCUGUUUAAGAUGGCUGAUGGAGAUGUGGACUCCCAGGGAGAUGGGGAGUAGCGCCUGCUCCCGCCACAGGACGAUGUCAGCUUCAACACCGUCCGGCUUCAAUAAAGAAGUGGUUCUUUCCCCCUGAUGCUGUAUAUGCCAUACUGCCUAAUGAUGACUUUGGUCCACUCUUUGGUAGCCACAACAGUCACCGUUAUCGGUGGAGGUCGGCUGUAGGGCCCUGCAUAUGCUUUGCCAACAAGUGAUCCAGAAGGCCUAGUUAUUUUCCUUUUCAAUGGCAUGUCGUUCCUAAUUGUGUUCCCUGUUCCAAUUUGUUCUUCCAGUUCUGCCUGUUUAUUUUAUUUAUUAGUUGUAUCG